AUAGCAAUGUAACAAAACUAGUAAAUGGAUUCAAACUUGAAGCAGGCAGCUUAGCUUUCACUGUGUUAUGCAACAAAUGAUUUUGCUUCAUAUAUAUUUUUGUUCAUUUAUUUAACAGCUUUUGUUUUGCAAAGUUCUAUUGAGCAGCUGCAAUUUCUAGUUUAUCAUGCUUUUAAUUCACUAAAAGGAAAAUUGGACACUUUUUAAAUUAAAUUAUUCAAUGGGUUCAAUAAAAUUUAAGCCAGUAGAGUUAUCUCCACAGGUGGCACUGCUGUAUUACAGGGUAAACAAUGCUACCAGUCAGCUGACCACUGUUUACUAAGUAAAUUCAGAGAAUUAUAAUAUGUGUUUUUAACCUGUUAUUGAACUGGUUUAUUGGUGUUGCACACAUUUAUGUUAAGGAGUAUAUAAACAGCAUGCACGAAUGAAUGAAUGGAGAUAAUUCAGUUUAGUGACCCAAUGUAUUGUGUUCAAAGGAGACGCCAUCCAACAAUUCAAAGACAUGUUAAUGCAGUGAGGCAACUGAUGGCAAAUGAUGGCUUUGUGGCAGUUAAUGAAAACUACAUGGUAUUUUAAACUGAUGGUGGCCAACAGUGACAGAAAAUUUCUCAACCAAUAGUUACAUUCAGUUGAAAAUGAUGGCAUAUCUUAUACCGACUAUACUGCAUUAUGACAAACAGUGGAAAACAUUGAUAUACUACAAUGACAGUGGAAUUGAAUAGAAACUGGUGACAUUUUAGCUCCAUAUUGCUUGUACUAUUUUCUGUCACCUAGUGAAGAAAUGUCUAAAUUCAUAAGCAGUUUUGUUAUACUACUGACUAUUAUGAAAUUAUAAAUUAAGAUGUGACAUGCAUAAUGGUUUCUGAUUUUCAUUUCAGUCCAGUUCUGUCACCAACAAGUUUCCAUGGUAUUUCCGUGGAUUUCCACAGUUAUUUGCCAUGGCAUGCCGUCCGAAUACUCCACGGAUUGCCAUGGACUUCCGCUGGUUUCCAGGGUCAUCUGUGGUGUACCAUGGAAAGCCGUGGAUUUCCAUGGAAACCCAUGGAUUUCCACGGAACUCUGUGGCAUUCCAUUGAAAUCCAUGGAACUCUACGGAUUGUAUUCUUCGUAUUUUUGUUUCAUAAAAAAAUGAUAUAAGUUGGUAGUCCGAAUACUCCAUGGAAUAUUUUCCAUGGAUUUCCACAGAAUUCCAUGGCAAAUCUAGAG